rnacentral:rRNA from 1 species
UACGGGGGGAGCAAGCGUUGCUCGGAAUCACUGGGCGUAAAGCGCACGUAGGCGGCGUCUUAAGUCAGGGGUGAAAUCCUGGAGCUCAACUCCAGAACUGCCUUUGAUACUGAGAUGCUUGAGUCCGGGAGAGGUGAGUGGAACUGCGAGUGUAGAGGUGAAAUUCGUAGAUAUUCGCAAGAACACCAGUGGCGAAGGCGGCUCACUGGCCCGGUACUGACGCUGAGGUGCGAAAGCGUGGGGAGCAAACAGG